rnacentral:rRNA from 1 species
GGUUAAGCGACUAAGCGUACACGGUGGAUGCCCUGGCAGUCAGAGGCGAUGAAGGACGUGCUAAUCUGCGAUAAGCGCCGGUAAGGUGAUAUGAACCGUUAUAACCGGCGAUUUCCGAAUGGGGAAACCCAGUGUGACUCGUCACACUAUCAUUAACUGAAUCCAUAGGUUAAUGAGGCGAACCGGGGGAACUGAAACAUCUAAGUACCCCGAGGAAAAGAAAUCAACCGAGAUUCCCCCAGUAGCGGCGAGCGAACGGGGAGGAGCCCAGAGCCUGAAUCAGCAUGUGUGUUAGUGGAAGCGUCUGGAAAGGCGCGCGAUACAGGGUGACAGCCCCGUACACAAAAGCGCAUGUGCUGUGAGCUCGAUGAGUAGGGCGGGACACGUGGUAUCCUGUCUGAAUAUGGGGGGACCAUCCUCCAAGGCUAAAUACUCCUGACUGACCGAUAGUGAACCAGUACCGUGAGGGAAAGGCGAAAAGAACCCCGGCGAGGGGAGUGAAAAAGAACCUGAAACCGUGUACGUACAAGCAGUGGGAGCCCCACCACCAAAGCAUUCUCUGGUGUUGAAGGCCCUGCAAAGCAGCAUCGCGGUGGCGGAGCGUCGUUUGCGACGCCCAACACACAAAACAAGCGGUGAGUGCUUUGGGGUGGGGUGACUGCGUACCUUUUGUAUAAUGGGUCAGCGACUUAUAUUCUGUAGCAAGGUUAACCGAAUAGGGGAGCCGGAGGGAAACCGAGUCUUAAUUGGGCGUUAAGUUGCAGGGUAUAGACCCGAAACCCGGUGAUCUAGCCAUGGGCAGGUUGAAGGUUGGGUAACACUAACUGGAGGACCGAACCGACUAAUGUUGAAAAAUUAGCGGAUGACCUGUGGCUGGGGGUGAAAGGCCAAUCAAACCGGGAGAUAGCUGGUUCUCCCCGAAAGCUAUUUAGGUAGCGCCUCGUGAAUUCAUCUCCGGGGGUAGAGCACUGUUUCGGCUAGGGGGCCAUCCCGGCUUACCAACCCGAUGCAAACUGCGAAUACCGGAGAAUGUUAUCACGGGAGACACACGGCGGGUGCUAACGUCCGUCGUGAAGAGGGAAACAACCCAGACCGCCAGCUAAGGUCCCAAAGUCAUGGUUAAGUGGGAAACGAUGUGGGAAGGCCCAGACAGCCAGGAUGUUGGCUUAGAAGCAGCCAUCAUUUAAAGAAAGCGUAAUAGCUCACUGGUCGAGUCGGCCUGCGCGGAAGAUGUAACGGGGCUAAACCAU